UUUUUUUAAAAACACCUAAUCUAGGCAAAAAUAAUGGGGGUUUAGUUACAUUAUAUGAUCAUACAUUGCAUAACUAAACCCCCAUUAUUUUUGCUUAGAUUAGGUGUUUUUA
rnacentral:miRNA from 1 species